GAUGAACGCUAGCGGCAGGCCUAAUACAUGCAAGUCGGACGGGAUUUGGGAGCUUGCUCCUAAUGAGAGUGGCGCACGGGUGCGUAACACGUAUGUAACCUACCUUAAUCAGGGGGAUAGCCUCUCGAAAGAGAGAUUAACACCGCAUAAUAUAUUUUUAUGGCAUCGUAGAAAUAUCAAAUAUUUAUAGGAUUAAGAUGGGCAUGCGGAACAUUAGCUAGUUGGUAAGGUAACGGCUUACCAAGGCUACGAUGUUUAGGGGAUCUGAGAGGAUGACCCCCCACACUGGUACUGAGACACGGACCAGACUCCUACGGGAGGCAGCAGUAAGGAAUAUUGGUCAAUGGGCGCAAGCCUGAACCAGCCAUGCCGCGUGCAGGAAGACGGCCCUAUGGGUUGUAACCUGCUUUUGUACCGGAAUAAACCCUUUUACGUGUAGAAGGCAGAAUGUACGGUAAGAAUAAGGAUCGGCUAACUCCGUGCCAGCCGCCGCGGUAA
rnacentral:rRNA from 1 species